GGCCGACUGGCGAAAUGGUAUCGCGUCUGACUACGAAUCAGGAGAUUGCAGGUUCGAGACCUGCGUCGGUCA
rfam:Schizopora paradoxa strain KTC8140 unplaced genomic scaffold SCHPAscaffold_00089, whole genome shotgun sequence.